rnacentral:rRNA from 1 species
UACGGGGGGGGCAAGCGUUGUUCGGAAUUACUGGGCGUAAAGGGCUCGUAGGCGGCCAACUAAGUCCGACGUGAAAUCCCCAGGCUUAACCUGGGAACUGCGUCGGAUACUGGAUGGCUUGAAUUCGGGAGAGGGAUGCAGAAUUCCAGGUGUAGCGGUGAAAUGCGUAGAUAUCUGGAGGAAUACCGGUGGCGAAGGCGGCAUCCUGGACCGACAUUGACGCUGAAGGCCGAAAGCUAGGGGAGCAAACGGG